rnacentral:rRNA from 1 species
AGUGAACGCUGGCGGUAGGCCUAACACAUGCAAGUCGAACGGCAGCACAGUAAGAGCUUGCUCUUACGGGUGGCGAGUGGCGGACGGGUGAGGAAUACAUCGGAAUCUACUUUUUCGUGGGGGGUAACGUAGGGAAACUUACGCUAAUACCGCAUACGACCUACGGGUGAAAGCAGGGGAUCUUCGGACCUUGCGCGAUUGAAUGAGCCGAUGUCGGAUUAGCUAGUUGGCGGGGUAAAGGCCCACCAAGGCGACGAUCCGUAGCUGGUCUGAGAGGAUGAUCAGCCACACUGGAACUGAGCCACGGUCCAGACUCCUACGGGAGGCAGCAGUGGGGAAUAUUGGACAAUGGGCUCAAGCCUGAUCCAGCCAUACCGCGUGGGUGAAGAAGGCCUUCGGGUUGUAAAGCCCUUUUGUUGGGAAAGAAAAGCAGCAGGUUAAUACCCCGCUGUUCUGACGGUACCCAAAGAAUAAGCACCGGCUAACUUCGUG